rfam:Schistosoma curassoni strain Dakar, Senegal genome assembly, scaffold: SCTD_contig0000261
AAAAUAACUCCGCCUGUAGCUCUUAUAGGGUUGCUGCCGGUCCCAAGCCCGGGUAAAGGAGGAGGGUUGG